rnacentral:lncRNA from 1 species
CAAACUUCUCAGCUUUCAGCAUGCUGCAGAAAAGCCCCAGAGCUGCUCUCAACUCCAAGCAAUGGUGAGCAUUACAGGUCCUGGUAUUUCAGCAUGUCAUGCACCAUCACAAAGAUGUUUAAUGACUGCAGCUGGGAUCCUUAUCAUACCACAUAUGUGAUGUAUCACACCAAGCACUGGUACUCUGGUACCCACCAGUACAGCAGAAGUGCACAUACAGUGCUCACCAUGGGAUUAUUUGCAAUAGAAGAUAGCAAAAACCAACCUUCUGAACUGAAAGUGGCAUUAAGGACAACAAGGAAACUUCUACCCUUAAAAUUCCAACACGUCUUCCUGUCCACUUGGAAGGAAGUAUUUAAACAGCAAACACUUUGCUCAGGUGAGGCUUUUGUAUCUAUCUCAGUAAAGGUGGUUCCAUCUAACCUCCCCAAAUAAUUUCUUUCUAUUCGUUCUGUGAGCGGUUUGAAGAAACAAGUCGUCUUCAUUUUAUUAUACCUAAUUCCCUAUUCCAAGGCUCCUCUGUGGCUGAAGUCACUAUUUUUUCUGGGUAAAAAACUGCAGUCUCUUCACAGGUGAAUCCAGCUCCUGAGGAGAUGGUACAGUCUGGUUUGCAACUAAUUUAUGCUUAACUCAAAACUACUAUGGGAACCUUCUUAGUCACAAGGUUCAAGGCAGACAACAAUCCAUAACCACUCCAGUUCACAAACAUCGUUGACUUCAGGAGAACCAAAGUAAUGCCAGGAAGGAAUUUGGACCAAUGGUUUAUAAAACUAUUCUUUUACACAGUUGAUUCCGGAAGCUUCACCAGUCGGUAUGGGGACAGUGUGAUGUAAAACCUGAUGAUCCCAUCCAACUGUAGUGAGCAAGGCAUUGUCUGAAGGAGACCACGAUAAACCUUUUACAAAGUCUCGAUGAGAACGGCUUCUGAACACCUCUGAAAGGUCUGAGUUGAGUACAGCUACUGUACAAUCUUCGCUGAUGGAAG